rnacentral:rRNA from 1 species
GAACUUAAGCAUAUCAAUAAGCGGAGGAAAAGAGACUCACAAGGAUUCCCCUAGUAACGGCGAGUGAAGCGGGAAGAGCUCAAAUUUGAUAUCUGGUGGCCUCAGGCUAUCCGAGUUGUAAUCUAUAGAAACAUUUUCCGCGUUGGCCCAUGUACAAGUCUCUUGGAAUAGAGCGUCAUAGAGGGUGAGAAUCCCGUCCUUGACAUGGACUACCAGUGCUUUGUGAUAUGUUUUCAACGAGUCGAGUUGUUUGGGAAUGCAGCUCAAAAUGGGUGGUAAAUUCCAUCUAAAGCUAAAUAUUGGCGAGAGACCGAUAGCGAACAAGUACCGUGAGGGAAAGAUGAAAAGCACUUUGGAAAGAGAGUUAAACAGUAUGUGAAAUUGUUGAAAGGGAAACGAUUGAAGUCAGUCGUGUCUAUUGGACUCAGCCGGUUCUGCCGGUGUACUUCCUUUAGAUGGGGUCAACAUCAGUUUUGAUCGCUGGAAAAGGGCAGGAGGAAUGUAGCACUCUCGGGUGAACUUAUAGCCUUCUGUCGCAUACAGUGGUUGGGACUGAGGAACGCAGCUUGCCUUUAUGGCCGGGAUUUAUCCACGUACAAGCUUAGGAUGUUGGCAUAAU